rnacentral:rRNA from 1 species
CGGGGUCGGGCUUCUAAACGUUUACUGUGAAAAAAUCAGAGUGUUCAACGCAGGCUUACGCCUUGAAUACAUUAGCAUGGAAUAAUGAGAUAGGACUUUGGCGGUCUAUUUUGUUGGUUUGCACGCCGAAGUAAUGAUUAACAGGGACGGUUGGGGUUCUUUGUAUUCAAUUGUCAGAGGUGAAAUUCUUGGAUUUAUGGAAGACAAACUGCUGCGAAAGCGUCGAACAAGGACGUUCUCAUUAAUCAAGAACGAAAGUUAGGGGAUCGAAGAUGAUUAGAUACCAUC